rnacentral:rRNA from 1 species
GGUUGUAAACUCCUUUCGUUAAGGACGAAGCCCACCUUUUUUUGGGUGUGGUGACGGUACCUUUGUUAAGAAGCACCGGCUAACUACGUGCCAGCAGCCGCGGUAAUACGUAGGGGGCGAGCGUUGUCCGGAAUUACUGGGCGUAAAGAGCUCGUAGGUGGUUUGUUGCGUCGUCUGUGAAAUUCCGGGGCUUAACUUCGGGGUGGCAGGCGAUACGGGCAUAACUAGAGUGCUGUAGGGGAGACUGGAAUUCCUGGUGUAGCGGUGGAAUGCGCAGAUAUCAGGAGGAACACCGAUGGCGAAGGCAGGUCUCUGGGCAGUAACUGACGCUGAGGAGCGAAAGCAUGGGGAGCGAACAGGAUUAGAUACCCUGGUAGUCCAUGCUGUAAACGGUGGGCGUUAGGUGUGGGGACCGGUUUGGUUUCUGUGCCGUAGCUAACGCAUUAAGCGCCCCGCCUGGGGAGUACGGCCGCAAGGCUAAAACUCAAAGGAAUUGACGGGGGCCCGCACAAG